GUAGGUGAACCUGCGGAAGGAUCAUUAAAACGUAUCCACGUAUCAACCAAUCGUGAACUGUAACCUCUUUGGAACUCAACGGAAUGGCCUCUUCGAUUCCGCUUCGUGAUGAAAAGGCAUAGUUCUUCGGAAUUUUGUCCUUUUGGAAUUGAUUGGGUCGCGCUUUCGGGCGACGUGUUCUAAAGUGGUUCUUUUACCUCAUCACGGGUAAACCUCAUUCAACCAUUAUUAACACUUUGUACCUUUCUUG
rnacentral:misc_RNA from 1 species